rnacentral:rRNA from 1 species
GACGAACGCUGGCGGCGUGCUUAACACAUGCAAGUCGAACGGAAAGGCCCUGCUUUUGUGGGGUGCUCGAGUGGCGAACGGGUGAGUAACACGUGAGUAACCUGCCCUUGACUUUGGGAUAACUUCAGGAAACUGGGGCUAAUACCGGAUAGGAGCUCCUGCUGCAUGGUGGGGGUUGGAAAGUUUCGGCGGUAGGGGAUGGACUCGCGGCUUAUCAGCUUGUUGGUGGGGUAGUGGCUUACCAAGGCUUUGACGGGUAGCCGGCCUGAGAGGGUGACCGGCGACAUUGGGACUGAGAUACGGCCCAGACUCCUACGGGAGGCAGCAGUGGGGAAUAUUGCACAAUGGGCGGAAGCCUGAGGCAGCAACGCCGCGUGCGGGAUGACGGCCUUCGGGUUGUGAACCGCUGUCGCCUGUGACGAAGCGUGAGUGACGGUAAUGGGUAAAGAAGCACCGGCUAACUACGUG